CUCCUGGUAGCUCAAUUGGGAGAGCGGUGGGUUGAAGACCCAUAGGUUGUCGGUUCAAAUCCGAUCCGGGAGA